rnacentral:rRNA from 1 species
AGAGUUUGAUCAUGGCUCAGGACUAACGCUGGCGGCGUGCCUAACACAUGCAAGUCGAGCGGGGUAGCAAUACCCAGCGGCAGACGGGUGAGUAACACGUGGUCAACCUUCCCGAUAGUGGGGGAUAACUAGCCGAAAGGUUAGCUAAUACCGCAUACGAUCUAUGAGCGGCAUCGCUUAUAGAUGAAAGGAGCAAUCCG